AAGCGAGGAAGGCUUUAUUUGUUGAUGACACUGUUCUUGUUGUCGAUGCCAGCAUGUGACGCUGAUACGUCUCUCAUUCAGUUCUGAUUAGGGCUGAGAACGCAUGGCUAACCUCACUAGCAUGCUGUGAUUUUCCCAGUUCUGACAUUCUCAGUAAUUUCAUGUCAACAUGUUCACUCUGACUCUGAUGGACAUAUUCACUUGCGGACGCAGCUGACUUAUCGUUUCAGCCAGUUGGGCUUUUGUAAGUGAGAAGGAAGGGAGUUUUAGAUGACCUUGAGGGUGAAAAAGAAACACUUUUGUUACCCUGCCAACCAUCUCAGAGCACACAACCCUGACACCCUCUCCGAGGAGCCUCGUGUCCUUGCAAAGACUUGUCAAAUCCUCUAGUCAGAGAGCGUGAGCUGAGUGCCAGUGAGAAAGGGCUAGAAAACAUUUUUAAGGAAUCCACAGUCCUGGCAGAACUCGGAUUAAACCAGGCCAGGGAAAGAUGCCUGUGAAUUGGACAGGACAGCCACGAGAGAUCCAUGCACACUCCUGAGGAUGAGUGGUUGGCUUCCGCGUCUUCCAACAGCUAGUGGACUCUUGAUCGCUAGAAACUGGCCCUUCAAAUCUCAGGGGCUCUUUAAAGCUGCCCAAAUCUCCUGUUAGAUUCUAAAUCAGUUUAUAUAAUGAUUUUUACAAAGGAAGAUGAAUAGGGCCCGGUGUUGUUUUGGAUCCCACUGACUUUCAUUGUAUGGACUUCCUGUCUUGUUUAGUGUUCCACAGAAGAAUGUCAGUCAAGAAGGUUUGGAAUGACAUGAGGGGCUGGUGGAGACAAAAUGGCAGCGGUUCCUCUACGGUGCAUGCUAGUGGACCGGGUCGACUGAGCUUGGCCACGCUGCCGCAGCAGGGGCCCCAUGCCUGCAACUUCUCCAGGUCAUCUGCCAUACUCGCAUUUGUGAUGAAAUAUUAAAGACAGGUUGAUCUCUCUCUGUCUCUCUUUUUCUCUCUCUCUGUCUGUCAACCUCUUGCAGAAGCUUAUAGCAGAGGUGGAUUUGUCAUCUCAGCAGUUCAAAGCUGAGUCCAGGCAGCCAGCAUCCGUCCGGCAGAGGAGAGCUGACAUAUUUAGUGCCACAGAUGCAUGAAAGAGCUUUGUUUUGCUAGAUCCACAGAGAUGAAAGGUAUGGAGUGGAAAGAGGAGGAGAAGGGCCGGAGAAAAGGUCAUGGAAAACUUCAGGCCGACCUACACGCAUGACUGUCACGCAUAGAAGCGAAAUAGCAGAAAUAUGAAGAAGAAGUGCUGCGUGGUGAGUAACUGAAAGGAUUGGUGCCAAAACACACCUACACCAUCUCCCACAGACCUGUCACAUUGGCAUAAUUCUAAACUUUAUUCUGAAACUAGUGUUCUAUUGAGUUAAUUGUGAAAAUAAGUAACUAAUUGCAAGAUGUCAUUGCUAGCAGGUGUUUAACUUCAAAGUCAUACUUUUUUUUCUUUUUUUUUUACAUUUAAGUGUUGUUGUUUUUAGUAUAUGCAACUUUAUUAUUAUGGAAUAUAUUAUUUACAAUAUUUGAAAGUUAUUUUAUUUUUAGCAUUUUUAUAUAGUAGUCAGCAUUUGAAGAUUUUCAACAUUUUCAUCAAAGUUGACCUUAUACCAAAACAAUACCUGUUUUUGUCUAAGGACAACUUUGAACUUUUAUGAUCCACUUCAAAUGUUGACUACUAUAUUUAUCCACAUACACCGACACACACACACACACACACACACACACACACACACACACACAAACAUGGUUUGGGAAUAGGAAACAUCUCAUCUAAUUUUUGCCUCAGCGUUUUUCAAAAUCAAGAUGUCUCAGAUGCAGCCAUUAUAGACUUAUUAACCUCCAUAACAUACAGUAUGUGAAGUAUUUUUCAUCUCAUUUUUUCUUCAUUUUUUCAUCUUUCUCUCUCUCUCUUCUUUUCCAAUUUCCACAUUAUGAAGUGUUCCUGUCAUUAUUUCUGAUGACUCUUUUCUGCCAGACAUCCUAGAGCUCACCUGUUCAGCCCACUCUACACAUGAGAGAGCCAGACAGAGCAAUGUUUUAAUGGAGGGUGGAGAGAGAGAGAGCGGAGGAUGAGAAUGAGGAGAGAAAUCUGAUCAAAUAAGCCAAUCGUGUGUGGAGCAUUAAUGAAGAGCCUGGAGGAGCAGCCUGCGUUCUCUCUCUCCAGAUGCAUGCAAGAUACUUUGUGUUGCGAUGAGGAGAUGAAGGGAGUUUGUGGAACUUUCCAUAAUUGCUUCUGAUAAGGGUUUAAAGCAAACACAGUGAGCACAAUGAUGGGAGUGAAACUUUUUCACUCUCUUGUCUCAAUGAGCUGAAUCCAGGAGGGGGAAACAUUAGAAUCUCGUCAUCUCUGCAAAUGGCUGCUCAAUUUACUCAGUCUCAAGCCUUCUUUGGGCUCAAUUACACUCUAUUUUCUCAACGAGCACUUCAGUUUCUUUGUUAACGUUUUAUAUCUGUUCGUACCCUCUGGCCUAAUAACAUUUGCUAAAUUAACUUCUGAUGGAACCCGCGUAUUUAACAAAAAGCUUGAGCUUCGCUUCGGAAUACAAAUCUCGGAUUUUAAAAAUGAGCAUAUAAACAAACUCACUUUUAGCAUUUAAUCCUGUCAUGUUAAUCUGACAUGUUCUCUUAACCCUUAACCGCUGGUUUAAUCCCGUUUCCAGCUUGGAGUCAUCUCACACCUGGAGCAUUUUGCAUGGAUUCAGUCAUUUUCUCUCAGAUGUGACAAAUCCUUGUAUUCCCCCAUAAAAACGGCAUUGUUUUUUACUAUGUGGUUUUGGGCAUGUAUUCAGUUUAUUUACUAAUUCAAAUUUACUCUUUUGCUGAAGUCCAAACCGGUUCGACAUACUUUCUCACAAAUUAAAAGUUAAAAAAUGUACUUGCUUCUGUAAUAAAAGUGAAUGGGGAUCUGUGCUGUUUAACUCC
ensembl:lncRNA